GACAGAGGGUGCAAACGUUGCUCGGAAUUACUGGGCGUAAAGGGCGUGUAGGCGGGAAGGCAAGUCGGGCGUGAAAGCCCCAGGCUCAACCUGGGAACUGCACUCGAAACUGCCUUUCUUGAGUGCCGGAGAGGAAAGCGGAAUUCCUGGUGUAGAGGUGAAAUUCGUAGAUAUCAGGAGGAACACCAGUGGCGAAGGCGGCUUUCUGGACGGUAACUGACGCUGAGACGCGAAAGCGUGGGGAGCAAACAGGAUUAGAUAC
rnacentral:rRNA from 1 species